GUCCCGCGCCCCCUCCCCCAGGCCACCCGUACAUCAUGACCGUGGGCUGCGUGGCGGGCGACGAGGAGUCCUACGAAGUGUUCAAGGAUCUCUUCGACCCCAUCAUCGAGGACCGGCACGGCGGCUACAAGCCCAGCGAUGAGCACAAGACCGACCUCAACCCCGACAACCUGCAGGUGCGGGGCGGCGGGCGGGCCGGGCGGGCGGUGCCGGGGUCUUCGGGCGCUCACUCCCGUCUCGCCCCCCAGGGCGGCGACGACCUGGACCCCAACUACGUGCUGAGCUCGCGGGUGCGCACGGGCCGCAGCAUCCGUGGCUUCUGCCUCCCCCCGCACUGCAGCCGCGGGGAGCGCCGCGCCAUCGAGAAGCUCGCGGUGGAAGCCCUGUCCAGCCUGGACGGCGACCUGGCGGGCCGGUACUACGCGCUCAAGAGUAUGACGGAGGCGGAGCAGCAGCAGCUCAUCGACGACCACUUCCUCUUCGACAAGCCCGUGUCGCCCCUGCUGCUGGCCUCGGGCAUGGCCCGCGACUGGCCCGACGCCCGCGGUAUCUGGUGCGUGUCCCUCUGCGCCCUCUCGC
rnacentral:sRNA from 1 species